rnacentral:rRNA from 1 species
AUUGAACGCUGGCGGCAGGCCUAACACAUGCAAGUCGAGCGAGCGGCGGACGGGUGAGUAAUGUCUGGGAAAAUGCCUGAUGGAGGGGGAUAACUACUGGAAACGGUAGCUAAUACCGCAUACCAUCAGAUGUGCCCAGAUGGGAUUAGAUAGUAGGGGGGGUAACGGCUCACCUAGGCGACGAUCCCUAGCUGGUCUGAGAGGAUGACCAGCCACACUGGAACUGAGACACGGUCCAGACGCCUUCGGGAGGCAGCAGUGGGGAAUAUUGCACAAUGGGCGAAAGCCUGAUGCAGCCAUGCCGCGUGUGUGAAGAAGGCCUUCGGGUUGGAAAGUACUUUCAGCGGGGAGGCGUUACCCGCAGAAGAAGCACCGGCUAACUCCGUGCCAGCCGCCGCGGUAAUAC